UUGGGACUUUCUAGAUUCAUGAAGAUAACUAAUAGCACCUAGGACCAAAGUUUCAGUGGGCAGGGAUGACAAAGAAGAGAAUAUAAAUUUGGUUGUGACUGUUGCUGCACCGGACACAUUUGUUGGCAAUGUUUUGGGUAUGUUUGAAGUUUCUGGUUGCAAACUUGAAGUACUUUGAAGUGUUGCAUCUGCUUUUGUUGUAUUGUUCAGAGGUGUAGUAUUGCUAGUAAGAGUUUCAGCUGCUAUUGGUUUUAUGGAUGUGUGACCUGAAAUUGUAGAUGCUGGUGAUGUUGACGUAUUGUUGUUUGGACCUGAUGCUAUUGGAAAUUCUGGAAAUUCUGCUGUGUUAGUGAAACCUGUAAUAAUUCCAGUGGUAGUUGUUGAUGCAGUUGUGGUUUCUGAAUCCAAGUUUGGGCUUGAAGUUGUUUUGGUUGAAAGUGCAAGUGUGGCUGGAGCAGAAGAUGUACUGGUAAAAGCGACAGUUGUUUUUAAAAGAUCUCCUGAUGUUAGUUGAAAGGCAGUUGUUGUUUGAGUUGCAGUUGAGCUUGGAAUGGUGGCAGUUGCUGUGCUUGGAGCUGUAGCUGAGAUAUCAGCUGGAACUGUAGUGGUGGCCAGAACAUUCAUGGUUGUAAUGGGUGCAGAUGGGGUUCUUGGAGGUUCAGUUGUUUUUGUUGGAGUUAAAGUUGGUAAUAUAGUUACAUGUGAUGAGGAGAUAGGCAAAAUUGUUACAGCAAUAGUUAUGAUCUCUGGAGACACAGUUGUGAUUAUUGGAGGUGCAUUUGUCGUGGUAAUGAGUGUUGCCUGGCUUAGAGCUGGAACUGUAUUUGUGAAAGCAACAGUUGUGCUUGAUAGAGGUACAGUUGUUAUUUGGAAUGCAGUUGUUGUUGCCACUGAAGGAGUGUUCUUGCUUGAUGUUGUUGGAUCAUUAGUUGUUUUAGAUGUGGUUGAUGAAGCUGUAGUUGCGGUCUCUGCUGUUGUACUUUCUGAAGUUGUAGGCAGUGUUGUUGAAGUAAUGGGUGUGGUUUUUGUACUCACAACUGUGGAGGUGGGAUUUCAUUGGGGAUGCUGUAGUUAUUGAUCUUGUUACAGGUGCAGUUGUUUCUGAAGAUGUAGGCAUUGUUGAAGUAAGAGUUGUGGAUUCAGAAGUUACAGCUGUUGAUGUUGUUGGAUCAUGUGUUGCAGUAGAUGUGGUUGAUAAAGCUGUAGUCGUGGUUUCUGCUGUUGUACUUUCUGAAGUUGUAGUCAGUGUUGUUGAAGUAGUAGUUGUGGUGGUCUCUGUACUCACAACUGUGGUUGUUGGAAUUUCGCUAGUUGACAAUCCUUUAGUUGCUGAUGUUGUUACAGGUGCAGUUGUUUCUGAAGAUGUAGGUAUCGUUGAUGAAGUAAGAGUUGUGGAUUCUGAAGUUACAGCUGUUGAUGUAGCUGGAUUGUUUGUUUUUGUAGAUGUGGUUGAUGAAGCUGUAGUUGUGGUUUCUGCUGUUGUACUUUCAGAAGUUGUAGGCAGUGUUGUUGAAGUAGUCGUUGUGGUCUCUGUACUCACAACUGUGGUUGUUGGAAUUUCGCUAGUUGACAAUCCUUUAGUUGCUGAUUUUGUUACAGGUGCAGUUGUUUCUGAAGAUGUAGGUAUCGUUGUUGAAGUAAGAGUUGUGGAUUCUGAAGUUACAGCUGUUGAUGUUGCUGGAUUGUUUGUUUUUGUAGAUGUGGUUGAUGAAGCUGUAGUUGUGGUUUCUGCUGUUGUACUUUCUGAAGUUGUAGGCAGUGUUGCUGAAGUAGUAGUUGUGGUCUCUGUACUCACAACUGUGGUUGUUGGAAUUUCGCUAGUUGACAAUCCUUUAGUUGCUGAUGUUGUUACAGGUGCAGUUGUUUCUGAAGAUGUAGGUAUCGUUGAUGAAGCUGUAGUUGUGGUUUCUGCUGUUGUACUUUCUGAAGUUGUAGGCAGUGUUUCUGAGGUAGUAGUUGUGGUCUCUGUACUCACAACUGUGGUUGUUGGAAUUUCACUAGUUGACAAUCCUUUAGUUGCUGUUAUUCUUACAGGUGCAAUUGUUUCUGAAGAUGUAGGCAUUGUUGAUGUAAGAGUUGUCGAUUCUGAAGUUACAGCUGUUGAUGUUGCUGGAUUGUUUGUUGUUGUAGAUGUGGUUGAUGAAGCUGUAGUUGUGGUUUCUGCUGUUGUACUUUUUGAAGUUGUAGGCAUUGUUGUUGAAGCAAUUGUUGUGGAUUCUGAAGUUACUGCUAUUGAUGUUGUUGGAUCAUUUGUUGUUGUAGAUGUAGGUGACAAAGCUGUAGUUGUAGGCAGUGUUGUUGAAGUAGUAGUUGUGGUCUCUGUACUCACAACUGUGGUUGUUGGAAUUUCACUAAUUGACAAUCCUUUAGUUGUUGAUAUUGUUACAGGUACAGUUGUUUCUGAAGAUGUAGGUAUUGUUGUUGAAGUUAGAGUUGUGGAUUCUGAAGUUACAGCUGUUGAUGUUGUUGGAUCGUUUGUUGUUGUAGAUGUGGUUGAUGAAGCUAUAGUUGUGGUUUCUGCUGUUGUACUUUUUGAAGUUGUAGGCAGUGUUGUUGAAGUAAUGGCUGUUGUUUCGGUCUUCACAACUGUGGUGGUGGAAAUUUCAGUAGUUGAGGAUGCUGUAGUUGUUGAUGUUGUUACAGGUGCAGUUGUUUCUGAUAAUGUAGGCAUAGUUGUUGAAGUAAGAGUUGUGGAUUCUGAUGUUACAGCUGUUGAUGUUUUUGGAUCGUUUGUUGUAGAUGUAGUUAAUGAACCUGUAGUUGUGGUUUCCACUGUUUUAACUGUAGCAGUGGAAUGUUCAGUUGUGGCUGUGGAUGCAGUAUUUGUUGUUUCAGCUGCUUUUGUCUUUUCUGAAGACGUAGUCAUGGUUGUUGAAGCAAGUCUUUCUGUAGUUAUAACCAUUGUUGCACCUGAAGAAUCUGAUGAGGUUGGAGCUGGUUUUGCUGAGGUUGAAAUGGCAAGUAUAGUUGUUCUUUCUGAAGCCGUAUAUCCUGAAGUUGAAGACUCCUUUUUUGAAGCACUGGAUUUUAAAAAGAAAAAUAUAAUAAAUUAUAUACCUUUUAAAUUAUUAUUAACUUAAAAAAAAAAAAAAACAUGUUUGUAUUAGAUUAAAAAAGUAAUGACUAGUGGUGGGCCGUUAUCGGCGUUAACGUGCUGCAUUAACGUGAGACUCUUAUCGGGCGAUAAAAAAAUAUCGCCGUUAAUCUAUAGUACUCAAAGUUGGGUUGGGAGCUGGGUCUACUACACAAGCUAUGAUGAUUUCACCUUGAUGUUUUAGCGCGGAUGUAUAGGCUACCUAGCCGAAUUGCACUGUAGGGGGCGAGAAUGAGUCUUCGAACCUGUGUGUAUGCCUACUGUGAAAUUACCACAUCAAACGUGACGUGCUAACAUUGAUGCAGCUAUGAACCCGCCGGGUUUGUUUCAGGGGAAAAAAAAAUUAUUUUAAGAAGCUUCCCAAUGGAAACGUCGACAAGACUCACGCCUGGUUCACACUCUGUCUGCAGUGCGUAUGCAGUCCGUGUGUGUGGUGCAAAAGCAGCAUGGACUCAUUGUGCUUUCACACAGGAAGCGUUUGAACUCCGCUACUGAUCCGCGGCUGUUUAGUCC
ensembl:lncRNA